rnacentral:rRNA from 1 species
UACAGAGGGGGCAAGCGUUGUUCGGAAUUACUGGGCGUAAAGGGCGCGUAGGCGGCCUGUUAAGUCGAACGUGAAAUCCCCGGGCUCAACCUGGGCACUGCAGUUAGAACUGGCAAGCUAGAGUAGGGUAGAGGGGUGUGGAAUUCCAGGUGUAGCGGUGAAAUGCGUAGAUAUCUGGAGGAACAUCAGUGGCGAAGGCGACACCCUGGACUCAUACUGACACUGAGGUGCGAAAGCGUGGGGAGCAAACAGG